GAUGAACGCUGGCGGCGUGCCUAAUACAUGCAAGUCGAGCGAACAGACGAGGAGCUUGCUCCUCUGACGUUAGCGGCGGACGGGUGAGUAACACGUGGAUAACCUACCUAUAAGACUGGGAUAACUUCGGGAAACCGGAGCUAAUACCGGAUAAUAUAUUGAACCGCAUGGUUCAAUAGUGAAAGACGGUUUUGCUGUCACUUAUAGAUGGAUCCGCGCCGCAUUAGCUAGUUGGUAAGGUAACGGCUUACCAAGGCAACGAUGCGUAGCCGACCUGCGAGGGUGAUCGGCCACACUGGAACUGAGACACGGUCCAGACUCCUACGGGAGGCAGCAGUAGGGAACCUUCCGCAAUGGGCGAAAGCCUGACGGAGCAACGCCGCGUGAGUGAUGAAGGUCUUCGGAUCGUAAAACUCUGUUAUUAGGGAAGAACAAAUGUGUAAGUAACUAUGCACGUCUUGACGGUACCUAAUCAGAAAGCCACGGCUAACUACGUG
rnacentral:rRNA from 1 species